UACGUAGGGGGCAAGCGUUGUCCGGAUUUAUUGGGCGUAAAGAGCGUGUAGGCGGUCUGGUAGGUCCGUUGUGAAAACUCGAGGCUCAACCUCGAGACGCCGAUGGAAACCAUCAGACUAGAGUCCGGAAGAGGAGAGUGGAAUUCCUGGUGUAGCGGUGAAAUGCGCAGAUAUCGGGAGGAACACCCGUGGCGAAGGCGGCACUCUGGGACGGUACUGACGCUGAGACGCGAAAGCGUGGGGAGCAAACAGG
rnacentral:rRNA from 1 species